UUAGUAUGCGGGUAUAUAAAAUAAACAUUUGAACAAUAUUUCAACUUGGCACCCCUGGCCAACACAUUCAAACUGCAACGAAAAAAAAAAAACAAAUGGUAGGGGGAUGUGAAACGGCAUUAAGUUUUCAGCCAGCGACACAGAAAGGCUAUUUUAAUUCGACCUUCAUCAGAAACCCCGGUAAGUUCGGUGCGAAAGCGAUGAUACCUGUGGCCGUCGCGAGAAGUGAAGAACCGACCGAAUUUUGCCACCACAAGAUAUUUUGAAGAUUACCCUGCUGCUCGAUCCAGAACGGUCCUCAUUACGAAAUGAUGGAGAAAAAUUUAAACCCGAAGAUGCUCCUGCGGUUCAAAAAUUUUUGGUUCAUGGAUCGAGAAGUGGACUGGCCUUGGUUGCCUGAAAAGCGAAUAUAUUCUGCGGAACUGGCCAACAGGAAACAUGUGGACCAAAAUGAGACACGGGAAUUUUUAAUGAAGAUGUACUGUAUUUUAGAUUAAAUCGAGAUAAAUUUUCUAGAAUAAUAAAAUUUUUAAAAUAA